UCCAGCCCUUUGCUUGUUGAGCGGAGGGAAGAGAAGGACAGGGGAAGGCUUCGCACUUCAAAGAUUAUUGAUUGGUGUUGACAAGCUGAUAGUGGAUAAAACCUAAGUGCAUUUCCAAUAUAUCCACUUCAGUAUGUCUUGAUGUGCCACCUUUAUUAGAUGGACUUGAGGUAGCACUGGAGUAACUUGAGAAGCAAGUCAACCACUCCUAUGGGAACCUCUGAGAAACUCCACUCCUCCAUAAUAUUUAAGUCUGGGAUCUGCCUCAAGACAGCUGAAGAGAGACAGGAAGUGUGGGGAGCAGAGAGCGGAGGAAGACAUGGAGGAAAUGGUCAAGGUCGCAAGUCGAACCUGCAUUACUGUGACGAGGACUACAGCUCCGUACAUGUGGUAUAUGUAGUUCAGUUAUUUGUCAUGAGUUGAUGUUUAGUUUAGUUUCAUGCAUAGUUCUUGAUCCCUGUGUUUCUAGUUUUACUUCCUGUCCUU